rnacentral:rRNA from 1 species
UUUUUUAAGGAUUUUUCUUUCACAACAAUAGCUAUAAUAGAUUUGUUACAACAAAAUAUUCAAAUGAUCAUGUUGUGAUUGUCGCAAACUAACUACAAAGAAAACUGACAAGAACUUUCAUAUUAUAUUUAAUCUGUAGUGAAAAUUGUGGUAUAUAUCUAUAAAUUCUAACACCUGGUAAGCAUAUUCUACUAAUUUGAACAGGAACUUCCAUAUUAUACUUACUCUGGUCCUUCCUUCCCUGUCGUCGGCAAGGCACCCGCUGAAGCGCUCGAGCAGUCUAGGAGAAGAAGAGUAGGGCAGAUUCAAAUCAGCAGCAUGAGGGAUAAGGCGGCCAUGACUAAGGUGACAUAUUGAGGAGCAGGACGCAGCGAUAGGGAGGCAGAGAUUGCUUCUUCAGCCUUCGUCCACUUCUUCGCCUUGCACAUGCAUACCCACCCACACCGUUGCCUCCAAGCUAGGAUGAACGUAACCACGGUCCAGCGGCAAAAACUUAGGUCUGAGACACAUCCGCCUACAAGCCACCAUAGCUGACGGCUAUGUGAUGCUCGAGCUCCGACUCUUCUUUGGAUCAUCAGUUCUCAGGUUUGUUCAUCUUCUGCGUACCUCAAUUUCGUGGCUU